UACGAAGGGGGCUAGCGUUGCUCGGAAUCACUGGGCGUAAAGGGUGCGUAGGCGGGUCUUUUAAGUCAGGGGUGAAAUCCUGGAGCUCAACUCCAGAACUGCCUUUGAUACUGAAGAUCUUGAGUUCGGGAGAGGUGAGUGGAACUGCGAGUGUAGAGGCGAAAUUCGUAGAUAUUCGCAAGAACACCAGUGGCGAAGGCGGCUCACUGGCCCGAGUACUGACGCUGAGGCACGAAAGCGU
rnacentral:rRNA from 1 species